rnacentral:tRNA from 1 species
GCCCGGGUGGUGGAAUGGCAGACACGGCCGUCUUAAAAAUGGCUGCUCCGGAAGGGGCGUACGGGUUCGAAUCCCGUCCUGGGCACAA